rnacentral:rRNA from 1 species
AUACGGAGGAUCCGAGCGUUAUCCGGAUUUAUUGGGUUUAAAGGGUGCGUAGGCGGUAGAUUAAGUCAGCGGUGAAAGCUUGUCGCUCAACGCUAUAAUUGCAGUUGAAACUGGCAGUCUUGAGUACAGUAGAGGUGGGCGGAAUUUGUGGGGAAGCGGGGAAAUGCUUAGAUAUCACGAAGAACUCCGAUUGCGAAGGCAGCUCACUGGACUGCAACUGACGCUGAUGCUCGAAAGUGUGGGUAUCAAACAGGAUUAGAUACCCUGGUAGUCCGCACAGUAAACGAUGAAUACUCGUUGUUUGCGAUAUACUGUAAGCGGCCAAGCGAAAGCAAUAAGUAUUCCACCUGGGGAGUACGCCGGCAACGGUGAAACUUAAAUGAAUUGGCGGGG